rnacentral:sRNA from 1 species
GUGAGGGAGGGGUGACUAGUGACGGGGGGUGACUAGUGAGGGAGGGUGUGACUAGUGACAGAAUGAGGGAGAGGGUGACUAGUGACAGAGGGAGGGAGAUGGUGACUAGUGACAGAGUGAGGGAGGUGGUGACUGUCACGUCACCCCAUCCCUCCCUCUGUCACUAGUCACUCCCUCCCUAACUCUGUCACUAGUCAUCCCUUCACUCUGUCACUAGUCACCUCCUCCCUCUGUCACUGUGUCACCCCAUUCCUCCCUCUGUCACUAGUCAUCCCCUCCCUUACUCUGUUACUAGUCACCCCGUCCCUCACUCUGUCACUAGUCACCCCCUCCCUCAC